rnacentral:ribozyme from 13 species
UUCUUCUAUUUCUUCUUUUUCUUUUUCUUUUUCUUUCUCUCCAAGCUCCAAAUGGUCUUCGCUUUCGUUAAUCGUAACAGAAGAGAGAGGAGGUUGAGAGAAAGAAGUCACAUCAGAUUGUGAAAGAGAAUUAAAAGAAGGUUU